rnacentral:rRNA from 1 species
AACGAACGCUGGCGGCGUGCCUAACACAUGCAAGUCGAACGGGAUUAGGGGCUUGCUCCUAAUCUAGUGGCGCACGGGUGAGUAACGCGUAGAUAAUCUGCCUGAUGAUCUGGAAUAACAUCUCGAAAGGGGUGCUAAUACCGGAUAAGCCCACGGGUACUUUGGUGCUUGCGGGAAAAGGGGGGGACCUUCGGGCCUUCUGUCAUCAGAUGAGUCUGCGUACCAUUAGCUAGUUGGUAGGGUAAAGGCCUACCAAGGCUACGAUGGUUAGCUGGUUUGAGAGAAUGAUCAGCCACACUGGAACUGAGACACGGUCCAGACUCCUACGGGAGGCAGCAGUGGGGAAUUUUGCGCAAUGGGCGAAAGCCUGACGCAGCAACGCCGCGUGAGUGAUGAAGGCUUUCGGGUCGUAAAGCUCUGUCAGGGGGAAAGAAGUGUAKUGUGG